GUUGUUUUUGAGACAGAGUCUUGCUCUGUCAACCCAGGCUGGAGAGCAGUGGCACGAUCAGGGCUUACUGCAGCCUUGACGUCCCAGGCUCAAGCGAUCCUCCCACCUCAGCCUUGCAAGUAGCUGGGAGCUACAGGCGUGCACCGCCACACCCAUUAAAGGUUUUUGAAUUUUAGUGGAGAGGAGGUCUCACUAUGUUGCCCAGGCUGGUCUCAAACUCCUGAGCUCAAGUGAUCCUUCCAACUCAGCUUUCCAAAGUGCUAGAAUUAAAGGUGUGAGCCACUACGCCUGGCCCUUUGCCCAGUUUUAAUUGGGUUGUUUUUGUUGUUGAGUUGUAAGAGUGUUUUUUAUAUGUUCUGGAUACUUGACCCUUAACAAGUUCAUGAUUUGCAAAUAUAUUCUCUCAUUCUGUGGAUUAAUCUUUUCAGUUUGUUAAUUGUGUCCUUUGCAACACAAAAAUUUUAACUAAAAGUUUUAUGGUUUCAGCUUUUCUUUUGGAUCCCUAUUUCAUUUUGAUUAAAUUUUUGUUAAUCUGUGGAUAUCCAGUUGUCCUAGCAUCAUUCGUUGAUUUGUAGCAGUUUUGAAGUAAAGAUAACUAACAGAAUGGUUGGUUUUGUGAGGUUUGUGUUAAUUAAUAAUACUGUUACAAUUCUUUACUUCAAUUCUCUCAGCCCUUCAGCAUGCCGGCAAACACAUGGAGGAUUGCAUUGUGGCCUCCUACACAGCACUACUUCUUGGGUGUCUCUGCCAGGAAAGUCCAAUCAAUGUAACCACUGUGCGGGAAUAUCUGCCAGAAGGAGACUUUUCAAUAAUGACAGAGAUGCUCAAAAAAUUUUUGAGCUUUAUGAAUCUCACUUGUGCUGUUGGAACAACUGGCCAGAAAUCUAUCUCUAGAGUGAUUGAAUAUUUGGAACAUUGCUAGCUGCUUUACCUUUGCUUCAGGUGCUCGGUAAUGCUGGAGCUAUCCUUAGACAAAGAAAAGUCAAGUCAUGAAAGAAGUCCUUGAAGAUAUACCAAGAACAUUCAUCAGUAUCAUUCGUGUUUGGAUUUUUAAGGCCACCUGAUUUCUUCGUCAUGCAUUCGGCAUUUGCUAAAUGACAGUUACUACAUCAAUCUGCAACUAUCAAAAAUGAGGGAAAAGGUUCAGGCUGUUAACAAUUCCAUGCAGUAUUUAAAUACAUUUACUUUGGCAGAGUUUAUACCCUCCCCUUGUUUUCUUGCUUUAUUCUGGGCAAGUUUGAAGGGGAAAAUUUGUGCUGCUGUUAGUGCAACUGCUGUGUAUGUUGAGCCACUGUUGUCAUGCCAGCCAGGUGCAAAGGCAGCUUAGCUACUGAGGUAGCGAAUGUUUUGAGGACAUUCUAGACAACAGCUUAGUUCCUUUUUCAGGCUCAUUUGCUUUUGCUUUUUUGUUGAAUGAUUCCAAUCGUAAAUAAAGCUUUUAAUAAUUUUGUGAAUUUUUUGGUUGUUGUUCCCUGAACUACUGUCUAUAUUUAAAAUUAGAUGGAAUCCAAAGAUACACGGGAUUAAUAGUAUAUUUUUUUAUUCUUGAUUAGGUUUGGGUUAUUGAACUAUUUUUUACUUUUGAGACCACAACCAUAUUCAAUAUCAUACCAUAAUGUGUCAUAGCUAUAGGCACAAGAAAAACAACAGUUUGAGGGAAUAUUAUAUAAGAUGAUGUGCCCUGUUAAAGGAGGAGGCAAAAUAGUCAAAGCCAGGGUAGUUUACACUUAAUGCUAGGGAGGCUCUUAAAACAUUAUUAGAUUUUGAGGAAAGACUCUCUAGAUAUAUUUUCUAAUGUUCAGUACAAUAAAUAUAAGGAAGCUAAAACACCAAUGUGGAAUUCCUGUUUCCAGAUAACAUGUAUAUUCUUCUAUAGAGUGACAGGAUCAAUUGCAUAAGCGCAAAGCCUUAAAUUGCUGGUUUAGAGAAGACCCUUUUUUCAUUCAGAUUCUUUGUUCAUAGAGCAGUUAUUUGAAAAACAGUUAUGGAACACAAAACAUUUUAUAGAUUUAAUAUCAUAACCUUGCAAAUUUUUCUUGUAUUAUUGUUCACACCACUGGUUAUACUUUUUUUUUCCCUUUUUUAUUGAUUGGGCCUGAAUACAGGCUUUCUAGAGAGCUUUUUCAUUAAUACUUUUAAAUACCUUUCAGGUAGUUACAUCAUGUUUCUUCAUUGGAUUUGUAAAACUUGAAGCCAUAAAAAUAUUAGUUUGGUGUGUAUUGGGGAAAAUAGCUAAAAGUCUAAUUUUUACCCAUUUAGACUUUGUUAUUUCCUUGUAUAAAGUGACAAAUCGGGGCUCUUGUAUCAGUGCCAGCUGUAAUGUUUUUAAAUGCAGUGGCUGCCUUCUAUUGUCUUCCUAUUUUUGAUAAUGCAGAUUGUUGGGAAAUCUAUAAGGAAGUAACUGAUUCCAGGCAAAUUGUUUUCUUCCUUCUACCCACCCCAACCCCUACCCAUCACCUUUUAAGAACAUAGUACGCCAGUGUAACGUGGGAACCAUUGAGAUUGUAUUUGCCCUGAGUAUUAAAGCUAGCUUAGCAAAAUACUUUUAAAAACAUAUUGGUAAAUGAUACGCAUAAAAUUAAAUUAGUUAUAUUUUAUUUUAAAAUGCAAAAUACAUUGAUAUUUAUUAAUCAUUGGAUUUAGGGAAAGGGACAGAUUUUUGGUGAACCUGACUUGUGGCAGAUGGUAAGGAAUAUUAUAAAACAUUUGGAUGAGAACAAUCAGGGUGAACUGCAUUUUUCUGUUACACUGGUAAUCAUUUGAAAAUUGAUUUACCUCAGUGUUUAACAGUUUUUUGUUUUGUUUUUUAAAUAAUAACUAAUUGUCGAGCACUGAUAGAGAUGCAGAUUUUGGUGGGGGGAGGUGGUGGGGGAGAUAAUCACUUCACCAACUGCAGUGCAUUUGUGUGUUUUUAACCCUCAGAGAACUCUGCAUUUUAGGGUACUUGAGGCUGACUUGCAAAUUAACUAAAAGUUUUAAAGUAACCUUUUUUCCAUUGUAAAUAUUUCUGUAAAUACUACCAAUUGGAAAUUAGAACAGUAGAGUACUUUUCUGAAUCCAAUCCUAUUUUUAUUUUAUACAGUAUUUCUCAGCUGUGAUCUUUGGAGCAAAAGCCAACGGCAGGAAAAAAUAGUUUGUACCAGUUUCAUGAAGUAUGUCUUUGGGUUUUUGUAAAUAAUUUUAACUCAAAUAAAAUUGCUACUUUCAAUACA
rnacentral:sRNA from 1 species